rnacentral:rRNA from 1 species
AGUGAACGCUGGCGGUAGGCCUAACACAUGCAAGUCGAACGGCAGCACAGUAAGAGCUUGCUCUUACGGGUGGCGAGUGGCGGACGGGUGAGGAAUACAUCGGAAUCUACUUUUUCGUGGGGGAUAACGUAGGGAAACUUACGCUAAUACCGCAUACGACCUACGGGUGAAAGCAGGGGAUCUUCGGACCUUGUGCGAUUGAAUGAGCCGAUGUCGGAUUAGCUAGUUGGCGGGGUAAAGGCCCACCAAGGCUACGAUCGGUAGCUGGUCUGAGAGGGUGGUCACACAGAUGGGAACUGAGACAGAUCACCGACCCCUGGACGGGGACACAGCGGAGAAUAUUAGGGGAGGGGGGAGAGGCUAAUACAGCAAAACCGGGUGGGUCAAGAAGGAGUUAGGGUUGUAAAGUCAUUUUGGUGGGAAAGAAAAGCAGCAGGUUAAUACCCGGUUGUACUGACGGUACCCAAAGAAUAAGCACCGGCUAACUUCGUG